GUUUGAUCAUGGCUCAGGAUGAACGCUAGCGGCAGGCUUAACACAUGCAAGUCGAGGGGUAACAUUGUGCUUGCACAGAUGACGACCGGCGCACGGGUGCGUAACGCGUAUAGAACCUACCUUUUACAGAGGGAUAGCCUUUAGAAAUGAAGAUUAAUACCUCAUAGUAUUGCGAUUUGGCAUCAGGUUGUAAUUAAAGAUUUAUCGGUAAAAGAUGGCUAUGCGUCCUAUUAGUUAGUUGGUAAGGUAACGGCUUACCAAGACAUCGAUAGGUAGGGGUCCUGAGAGGGAGAUCCCCCACACUGGUACUGAGACACGGACCAGACUCCUACGGGAGGCAGCAGUGAGGAAUAUUGGACAAUGGAGGAGACUCUGAUCCAGCCAUGCCGCGUGCAGGAAGACUGCCCUAUGGGUUGUAAACUGCUUUUAUACAGGAAGAAACACUAGUACGUGUACUAGCUUGACGGUACUGUAAGAAUAAGGACCGGCUAACUCCGUGC
rnacentral:rRNA from 1 species